AGACCGUGUGAGGGGGCCUGUGGCCCCAGCGUGCUGUGGCCUCGGGGAGUGGGAAGUGGAGGCAGGAGCCUUCCUUACACUUCGCCAUGAGUUUCCUCAUCGACUCCAGCAUCAUGAUUACCUCCCAGCCCCGGCUGUCAGGAGACUGGCCUGCGGCCGUCCGCGUCCCCACCCGGCAUCCAUCCCCGGAAUUUCGGUCCACUUUUGGAAGCGGUCCGCCGACCUCCAGGCUAAGAGCCGGCGCCGCCAGCUAAGGCGGCGGUUCUAGGAGCUCCUCGAAGCUUCCGGGCUGCGCCAACUGAUCCUGGACUGGGGAAGCCUGUGUGGUUCUGGGCGCGCGGUGUGCGACGCGCCAAUACUGGAUACUGAGGACACGUCAGUGCAGGCUUUGCUGUUAGAUGUCAAAUCCUGAAUCCGGGUGUGGAGAAAUUUGCUGCUUCAAAGUAUCAGUAUAAGAUACUAUUUUUUGGAUUUGGGUGGCUUUUCUUCAUGCGCCAAUUGUUUAAAGACUAUGAGAUACGUCAGUAUGUUGUACAGGUGAUCUUCUC
rnacentral:lncRNA from 1 species